rnacentral:rRNA from 1 species
GGACGGGUGAGUAAUGUCUGGGAAACUGCCUGAUGGAGGGGGAUAACUACUGGAAACGGUAGCUAAUACCGCAUAAUGUCGCAAGACCAAAGAGGGGGACCUUCGGGCCUCUUGCCAUCGGAUGUGCCCAGAUGGGAUUAGCUUGUUGGUGGGGUAACGGCUCACCAAGGCGACGAUCCCUAGCUGGUCUGAGAGGAUGACCAGCCACACUGGAACUGAGACACGGUCCAGACUCCUAGGGGAGGCAGCAUG